UACGUAGGGGGCUAGCGUUGUCCGGAAUCAUUGGGCGUAAAGAGCGUGUAGGCGGUCCGGUAAGUCCGCUGUGAAAGUCGGGGGCUCAACCCUCGAAUGCCGGUGGAUACUGUCGGGCUAGAGUACGGAAGAGGCGAGUGGAAUUCCUGGUGUAGCGGUGAAAUGCGCAGAUAUCAGGAGGAACACCGGUGGCGAAGGCGGAUCUCUGGGCCUUACCUGACGCUGAGGCGCGAAAGCUAGGGGAGCAAACAGG
rnacentral:rRNA from 1 species